AACGAACGCUGGCGGCAUGCCUAACACAUGCAAGUCGAACGAGACCUUCGGGUCUAGUGGCGCACGGGUGCGUAACGCGUGGGAACCUGCCCUUAGGUUCGGAAUAACUCCCCGAAAGGGGUGCUAAUACCGGAUAAUGUCUUCGGACCAAAGAUUUAUCGCCUUUGGAUGGGCCCGCGUUGGAUUAGCUAGUUGGUAGGGUAAAAGCCUACCAAGGCGACGAUCCAUAGCUGGUCUGAGAGGAUGAUCAGCCACACUGGGACUGAGACACGGCCCAGACUCCUACGGGAGGCAGCAGUGGGGAAUAUUGGACAAUGGGCGAAAGCCUGAUCCAGCAAUGCCGCGUGAGUGAUGAAGGCCUUAGGGUUGUAAAGCUCUUUUACCAGGGAUGAUAAUGACAGUACCGGGAGAAUAAGCUCCGGCUAACUCCGU
rnacentral:rRNA from 1 species